CCUGCUGACUCUUCCUUGUUCCUGCAGUCUCUCCUGGGUUGCCUGCGGAGACCUCCUGGUCUCAGCUGACUUGUUGUGGCUCCUAACUCUCUGCUACUUGUUCCCUGCCGACUCCUCCUGUCUCUCCCGGGUUCCCUGCGGAGACCUCCUGGUCUCAGCUGACUGGUUGUGGCUCCAAACUCUCUGCUCCUUGUUCCCUGCCGACUCCUCCUGGUUUGUCUCUCUUCCUGGUUCCCUGAGGAGUCCUUCGAGUCUCAGCUUACUCGUUGUUGUCCCAACUCUCUGCUCCUGGUUCUGUGCGGAGUCCUCCUGGUUUCUUUCUCUCCUGGGUUGCCUGCGGAGACCUCCUGGUCUCAGCUGACUGGUUGUGGC